AGCAGCCGCGGUAAUUCCAGCUCCAAUAGCGUAUAUUAAAGUUGUUGCAGUUAAAAAGCUCGUAGUUGAAUUUCGGGGUCAUCAAGUUGGUCGUGCCACUGGUAUGCACUGGCUUUGCUUAUUCCUCCUUCUUGAAGAACUGUAAUGCUAUUAAUUUAGUGUUGCAGGGAAACAGGACUGUUACUUUGAAAAAAUUGAGUGUUUAAAGCAGGCUAACGCUUGAAUACAUUAGCAUGGAAUAAUGAAAUAGGACGUUUGAUCCUAUUUUGUUGGUUUCUAGGAUUGACGUAAUGAUUAAUAGGGAUAGUUGGGGGCAUUAGUAUUCAAUUGUCAGAGGUGAAAUUCUUGGAUUUAUUGAAGACUAACUACUGCGAAAGCAUUUGCCAAGGAUGUUUUCAUUAAUCAAGAACGAAGUUAGGGAUCGAAGACGAUCAGAUACCGUCGUAGUCUUAACCAUAAACUAUGCCGACUAGGGAUCGGAUGAUGUUAAUUUUUUAAUGUACUUC
rnacentral:rRNA from 1 species